AUUGAACGCUGGCGGAAUGCUUUACACAUGCAAGUCGAACGGCAGCACGGGUGCUUGCACCUGGUGGCGAGUGGCGAACGGGUGAGUAAUGCGUCGGAACGUGCCGAGUAAUGGGGGAUAACGCAGCGAAAGUUGUGCUAAUACCGCAUACGCCCUGAGGGGGAAAGUGGGGGAUCGCAAGACCUCACGUUAUUCGAGCGGCCGACGUCUGAUUAGCUAGUUGGUGGGGUAAAGGCCUACCAAGGCGACGAUCAGUAGCGGGUCUGAGAGGAUGAUCCGCCACACUGGGACUGAGACACGGCCCAGACUCCUACGGGAGGCAGCAGUGGGGAAUUUUGGACAAUGGGGGCAACCCUGAUCCAGCCAUUCCGCGUGAGUGAAGAAGGCCUCGGUUGUAAAGCGUCUUUCUAGCUGGAGUGAAACGGUAGCGCGUCUAACAUAGCGUGCGUAAUGACGGUACCAGCAGAAGAAGACA
rnacentral:rRNA from 1 species